ACCAAUCACCGCAAGUUCUCAACUAAUUGGACAAAGAAAUGCACUUAAUGACACUUAAUAUUGAUCUGAUUUUACUCAUUCAUUGCUCUAACAAACGGUAACGGAGUUGUCACUUGACUAGUGACGCAAGAAUAUUCGUAAAAAUUCAAUUAAUUAUGCCACGAUUGUGUUGUCAGGUAUGUGCAACGUUUUUUUCAACGUCUGUCGCUGGAAUGUUGCAUCAUUUGGUCGCUGUUUAUGAACACGAUGCCAGAUUGCAUAUUAUCUGCGAAGUGCCGGAAUGUAAUUCAACCUUCGCUAAGGUUAACUCUUACAAAAGUCAUCUUAGAAGAAAGCACGCCAAUGUUGACUUAAACUCACGUCAUCUAUGUUGCGUUGAAUCAGCGAGUAGCAUUCACAACAAUUUUUGUCCUGAUGAGGAUGGCCUUGAACUUUUAAUUGAUGAGUUCAACAGGGAAAAUGAACUUGAUGACUCUGUUCAAGCAAUGGAACACAAAAAGGCUCAAUUUCUUCUAAAAACAAAAGAAAUCAAUCUGCUCACACAAAAAUGUGUGGAUAACAUUGUAGAAGAUUCCACUGAACUUGUCCAAGGAAAAGUCAAAGCAAUUAAACACGCUUUGCAAAAUUGCUUAGAGAAAGCUGGAUUAAAUUAUAAUGAUGUGCCAGGUCUUGAUGAAUUAUUUGAUAAAGGACAUGCUAUCUCAAAUCCAUUCAAACAUAUUUCUACAAAGUAUAAACAGAAUGCUUAUUUUGAGGAGCAUUUUGGCUUAGUUCAACCCAGACGAAUUAAACUUGGACACAGAGUUGUGAAAAGACAUUCAAGGACUGUGUACAAAGAAGUUAUUAAAGAUGACGAAAUCAUGUACAUACCACUGCUUAAAUCCUUGUAAAAUAUGCUCAAUGUAAAAGGAGUACUUGAACAGCUAAACCAUGGUCAUCUUCGGCAACAUAAACAUGAUGAUGUGAUUGAGGAUGUUUGCGAUGGCCAGUAUUUCAAAACCCAUCCUCUGUUUCCCAAGGACUCAACUGCUUUACAAAUCAUGCUUUACUAUGAUGAGUUGGAAAUUGCAAAUGCCCUUGGUAGUAAAACUGGAAAGCAUAAGUUAGGAGUUGUUUACUACACAACUGGAAAUAUUGAUCCUCGAUAUCGAUCCCAGUGUGACAGGGUGCGAAUUAACGGUGUGCAAUGUGCAAUUUGCACAUCGUUUUGGCUAAAAUGAAAAUAAUUGCACAUC